AUUGAACGCUGGCGGCAGGCCUAACACAUGCAAGUCGAGCGGAUGAAGGGAGCUUGCUCCUGGAUUCAGCGUCGGACGGGUGAGUAAUGCCUAGGAAUCUGCCUGGUAGUGGGGGAUAACGUCCGGAAACGGGCGCUAAUACCGCCUACUUCCUGAGGGAGAAAGUGGGGGAUCUUCGGACCUCACGCUAUCAUAUGAGCCUAGGUCGGAUUAGCUAGUUGGGGGGGUAAAGGCCUACCAAGGCGACGAUCCGUAACUGGUCUGAGAGGAUGAUCAGUCACACUGGAACUGAGACACGGUCCAGACUCCUACGGGAGGCAGCAGUGGGGAAUAUUGGACAAUGGGCGAAAGCCUGAUCCAGCCAUGCCGCGUGUGUGAAGAAGGUCUUCGGAUUGUAAAGCACUUUAAGUUGGGAGGAAGGGCAGUAAGUUAAUACCUUGCUGUUUUGACGUUACCAACAGAAUAAGCACCGGCUAACUUCGUG
rnacentral:rRNA from 1 species